CCUACGGGUGACAGCAGUGGGGAAUAUUGCGCAAUGGGCGAAAGCCUGACGCAGCGACGCCGCGUGAGGGAUGAAGGUCUUCGGAUCGUAAACCUCUGUCAGCAGGGAAGAACGGUCACUGUGCUAAUCAGCAGUGAAUUGACGGUACCUGCAAAGGAAGCACCGGCUAACUCCGUGCCAGCAGCCGCGGUAAUACGGAGGGGGCGAGCGUUAAUCGGAUUUACUGGGCGUAAAGCGUUCGUAGGCGGUAUGUUAAGUCAAGGGUGAAAUCCCCGGGCUCAACGUCGGAAUUGCCUUUGAAACUGGCCGACUAGAGAGUGUGAGCGGUAGGUGGAAUGCAAGGUGUAGGAGUGAAAUCCGUAGAUAUC
rnacentral:rRNA from 1 species